rnacentral:lncRNA from 1 species
AUUUGCUCACGAGGUCUUUGCCAUGAUGCUGAACUACUCUUUUCUACGCAUACGUACGUACGUAGGUACGUACGCACGCGCGCGCGCGCGCGCACGCACACACACACACACAAAAAUAUUGGCUUUAUGCGCGGACAUGAUGAUAAGGCCACCCGUUCAGAAACAGUAAUCAGGUCGACGAAACAUCUUGCAUGCCACAGCUAUCGAAAUAAUAACCAAACAGUAACGGAAUAGCCGUCUCUGAUAUACAUCCGACGAUAAUCCUUCCAAAGGGAUUAAAACUUCAAUAUAAAAACCCUGCUAAAUUAGCGCUCAAGACGUUAUUCUGUUCUAACACUUUGAACCGUCAUUCUGUUGAAUCUAUAUAAUAAAAAUUCCAUUAUCACAUACGAAGUUCAAUUCCUUCACCUUAUUCGUGAAACGUUCGAACUGCGACGCGAGGAGAUCACUGGCGAUCUAUCGGUUUCGUGAUUUCUUGUGUCUUCGACGUGACACCAUCAUACCCGUACAUAAAGUCAAUCCGAUCCUAACCCAACUCAAGAUAAAAAGUAGCAAAAAUAUAUUUAUGAACAUGUAUGUUGGAAAUUAAUGUCGAGCGGUAGUUAAAAAGUUACUCAGAAUAUUGACCUUAACGAUACAUUUGAAAAUCAUUAAAAUCAGUCAGCCGUAUACCCCCUUCUAUUAUAUAUAAUUACCAAUUCUUUUUACUCUAUUUUUACUUUAGUUGCAUGUUAAAGAAACAUUCAAAUAAAGACGGAUUUAUAUAAUCGAAAAAUAAUGAAUAAAUUUUUAAAGA